AAAUCCUGAUUCUAGCCAUCCUGAGAAGAAGCAACUGGUGUUCUGCUUUCUAUAGAGAAGCAGAGAUGCUGCAUCAGAGUAUUCACAUCUAAUAAAUUUAAAAUGGGUCACCCCAGAAGGGACAAAGGCUGUGAUGGACAUAAGGGUCAGGUCCAUGGCAGGAGAGAGGUCAGGUGUGAGGCAUUCCAAUACAGAAGUUCAAGAAAUUGCCAGCGGUGACAUUCUCAUGACAGGAAUUCACUCCCAGUUGUUACAAACUGUCCAUUCAAACCAAACAACAACAAAAUGAUGGAUGGGCAACAUAAGGGUCAUCCCAUCACACCAGAUCCCUGUAUUUUAUGCUGGACUACCUUUGAAAUAUUAAAUAUUUACAUUAC
rnacentral:sRNA from 1 species